rnacentral:rRNA from 1 species
AGUGAACGCUGGCGGUAGGCCUAACACAUGCAAGUCGAACGGCAGCACAGUAAGAGCUUGCUCUUACGGGUGGCGAGUGGCGGACGGGUGAGGAAUACAUCGGAAUCUACUUUUUCGUGGGGGAUAACGUAGGGAAACUUACGCUAAUACCGCAUACGACCUACGGGUGAAAGCAGGGGAUCUUCGGACCUUGCGCGAUUGAAUGAGCCGAUGUCGGAUUAGCUAGUUGGCGGGGUAAAGGCCCACCAAGGCGACGAUCCGUAGCUGGUCUGAGAGGAUGAUCAGCCACACUGGAACUGAGACACGGUCCAGACUCCUACGGGAGGCAGCAGUGGGGAAUAUUGGACAAAGGGCGCAAGCCUGAUCCAGCCAUACCGCGUGGGUGAAGAAGGCCUUCGGGUUGUAAAGCCCUUUUGUUGGGAAAGAAAAGCAGCAGGUUAAUACCCCGCUGUUCUGACGGUACCCACAGAAUAAGCACCGGCUAACUUCGUG